rnacentral:rRNA from 1 species
GACGAACGCUGGCGGCGUGCUUAACACAUGCAAGUCGAACGGAAAGGCCCUGCUUUUGUGGGGUGCUCGAGUGGCGAACGGGUGAGUAACACGUGAGUAACCUGCCCUUGACUUUGGGAUAACUUCAGGAAACUGGGGCUAAUACCGGAUAGGAGCUCCUACUGCAUGGUGGGGGUUGGAAAGUUUCGGCGGUUGGGGAUGGACUCGCGGCUUAUCAGCUUGUUGGUGGGGUAGUGGCUUACCAAGGCUUUGACGGGUAGCCGGCCUGAGAGGGUGACCGGCCACAUUGGGACUGAGAUACGGCCCAGACUCCAACGGGAGGCAGCAGUGGGGAAUAUUGCACAAUGGGCGGAAGCCUGAUGCAGCAACGCCGCGUGCGGGAUGACGGCCUUCGGGUUGUAAACCGCUUUCGCCUGUGACGAAGCAUGAGUGACGGUAAUGGGUAAAGAAGCACCGGCUAACUACGUG